AGAUUGAACGCUGGCGGCAGGCCUAACACAUGCAAGUCGAGCGGCAGCACGGGUACUUGUACCUGGUGGCGAGCGGCGGACGGGUGAGUAAUGCCUAGGAAUCUGCCUGGUAGUGGGGGAUAACGCUCGGAAACGGACGCUAAUACCGCAUACGUCCUACGGGAGAAAGCAGGGGACCUUCGGGCCUUGCGCUAUCAGAUGAGCCUAGGUCGGAUUAGCUAGUUGGUGGGGUAAUGGCUCACCAAGGCGACGAUCCGUAACUGGUCUGAGAGGAUGAUCAGUCACACUGGAACUGAGACCACGGUCCAGACCUCCGUAACGGGGAGCAGCAGGU
rnacentral:rRNA from 1 species